UCCCUGGUGGUCCAGUGGUUAAGAAACCCGCCUUCCAAUUCAGGGGACUCAGGUUCAAUCCCUGUCCAGGGAA
rnacentral:tRNA from 1 species